rnacentral:rRNA from 1 species
UGCAACCUGAGCUCAGUCGUGAUUACCCGCUGAACUAAGCAUAUCACUU